rnacentral:rRNA from 1 species
CUCUUCGGGGAUGAUUAAACCGGCGCACGGGUGAGUAACACGUGAGUGACCUGCCUUUUAGACUGGAACAACUUACCGAAAGGUGAGCUAAUGCCGGAUGAGUUAUAUAAGUGCAUGUUUAUAUAGGAAAAGUUGGGGAGACCUGACGCUGAAAGAUGGACUCGCGUCCCAUUAGCUAGUUGGUAGGGUAAUGGCCUACCAAGGCGACGAUGGGUAGCCGGCCUGAGAGGGUGGCCGGCCACACUGGGACUGAGACACGGCCCAGACUCCUACGGGAGGCAGCAGUGGGGAAUUUUGCGCAAUGCUCGUAAGAGUGACGCAGCGACGCCGCGUGAAUGACGAAGGCCUUCGGGUCGUAAAGUUCUUUCGACAGGGAAGAAAAUGCCUAUAAGUAACUGUGUAUGUAUUGACGGUACCUGUAUAAGCAGCCCCGGCUAACUCCGUGCCAGCAGCCGCGGUAAUACGGAGGGGGCGAGCGUUGUUCGGAGUGACUGGGCGUAAAGAGCACGUAGGCGGUGUUGUAAGUCAUUAGUCAAAGACUAGAGCUCAACUUUAGUAAGGCUAGUGAUACUAUAAUACUAGAGUAUCAGAGAGGAUUGCAGAAUUCCUGGUGUAGCGGUGAAAUGCGUAGAUAUCAGGAGGAAUACCGUUAGCGAAGGCGGCAAUCUGGCUGGAAACUGACGCUGAGGUGCGAAAGCGUGGGUAGCAAACAGGAUUAGAUACCCUGGUAGUCCACGCUGUAAACGAUGGAUGCUAGGUGUUGGGCUUUUAAGUUCAGUGCCGCAGCAAACGCGAUAAGCAUCCCGCCUGGGGAGUACGUUUG